GUGUCAGCCGCCGCGGUAAUACAGAGGGUGCGAGCGUUAAUCGGAAUUACUGGGCGUAAAGGGCGCGUAGGCGGUGGGAUGUGUGUGAUGUGAAAGCCCCGGGCUUAACCUGGGAAGUGCAUCGCAGACUAUGUCAAUGGAGUAUAUGAGAGGGUGGCGGAAUUUCCGGUGUAGCGGUGAAAUGCGUAGAGAUCGGAAGGAACGUCAAUGGCGAAGGCAGCCACCUGGCAUAAUACUGACGCUGAGGCGCGAAAGCGUGGGGAGCGAACAGGAUUAGAUACCCGGGUAGUCC
rnacentral:rRNA from 1 species